UCCUUGGUGGUCUAGUGGUUAAGACUCCUCACUUUCACUACAUGGGGCACAGGUUCGAUCCCUGGUCAGGGAA
rnacentral:tRNA from 1 species